GACGAACGAUGGCGGCGUGCCUAAUACAUGCAAGUCGAACGAAGCUGUUUUAACUGGUGCUUGCACCGACUUAAACAACUGAGUGGCGAACGGGUGAGUAACACGUGGGUAACCUGCCCCAAAGCGGGGGAUAACAUUUGGAAACAGAUGCUAAUACCGCAUAACCACAGAAACCACAUGGUUUCUGUGUCAAAGAUGGUUUCGGCUAUCACUUUGGGAUGGACCCGCGGCGUAGUAGCUAGUUGGUAAGGUAAUUGCGUACGAAGGCAAUGACACGUAGCCGAAAUGAGAGGUUGAUCGGCCACAUUGGGACUGAGACACGGCCCAAACGCCUGCGGGAGGCAGCAGUAGGGAAUCUUCCACAAUGGACGAAAGUCUGAUGGAGCAACGCCGCGUGAGUGAAGAAGGUUUUCGGAUCGUAAACCUCUGUUGUCAGAGAAGAACGUGUGCGAGAGUAACUGUUCGUGCAGUGACGGUAUCUGGCCAGAAAGCCACGGCUAACUACGUGCCAGCCGCCGCCGUAA
rnacentral:rRNA from 1 species